rnacentral:rRNA from 1 species
AUACGUAGGUGGCAAGCGUUGUCCGGAAUUAUUGGGCGUAAAGCGCGCGCAGGUGGUUUCUUAAGUCUGGUGUGAAAGCCCACGGCUUAACCGUGGAGGGUCAUUGGAAACUGGGAGACUUGAGUGCAGAAGAGGAAAGUGGAAUUCCAAGUGUAGCGGUGAAAUGCGUAGAGAUUUGGAGGAACACCAGUGGCGAAGGCGACUUUCUGGUCUGCAACUGACGCUGAGGCGCGAAAGCAUGGGGAGCAAACAGGAUUAGAUACCCUGGUAGUCCAUGCCGUAAACGAUGAGUGCUAAGUGUUAGGGGGUUUCCGCCCCUUAGUGCUGCAGCUAACGCAUUAAGCACUCCGCCUGGGGAGUACGACCGCAAGGUUGAA